ACUGGGACUGAGACACGGCCCAGACUCCUACGGGAGGCAGCAGUGGGGAAUAUUGGACAAUGGGGGCAACCCUGAUCCAGCAAUGCCAUGUGUGUGAAGAAGGCCUGCGGGUUGUAAAGCACUUUAGUUGGGGAAGAAGGGGUGAGUGCUAAUAUCACGCAUCAUUGACAUUACCCAAAGAAUAAGCACCGGCUAACUCUGUGCCAGCAGCCGCGGUAAUACAGAGGGUGCAAGCGUUAAUCGGAAUUACUGGGCGUAAAGCGCACGUAGGCGGUUAAAUAAGUCAGAUGUGAAAUCCCUGGGCUCAACCUAGGAAUUGCAUUUGAUACUGUUUAGCUGG
rnacentral:rRNA from 1 species